ensembl:snoRNA SNORD83 Small nucleolar RNA SNORD83
GCCAAAUGAUGCUUAUUUGACUCUGGUGCACUUCAGUGUAAGGAUGAUUCAUAAUCUGUCACUCAUGAUUGAUGGCC